GUGCUUGCUUCCGCAGCACAAAUUGGAACAACACGGAGAUUAGCACGGCCCCUGCACAAGGAAGAUACGCAAAUUCGUGAAGCAUUCCGUGUUUAA
rnacentral:snRNA from 1 species